rnacentral:rRNA from 1 species
UACGAAGGGUGCAAGCGUUGCUCGGAAUUAUUGGGCGUAAAGGGUAGGUAGGUGGUUGCGUAUGUCUGAGGUGAAAUCCCCGAGCUUAACUUGGGAAGUGCCUUGGAAACGGCGUAACUAGAGUACUGGAGAGGUUCGCAGAAUUCUUGGUGUAGCGGUGAAAUGCGUAGAUAUCAAGAGGAAUACCAGAGGCGAAGGCGGCGAACUGGACAGUUACUGACACUCAACUACGAAAGCGUGGGGAGCAAACAGG